rnacentral:misc_RNA from 1 species
GAUGAAGAACGCAGCGAAAUGCGAUACGUAAUGUGAAUUGCAAAUUCAGUGAAUCAUCGAGUCUUUGAACGCACAUUGCGCCCCCUGGUAUUCCGGGGGGCAUGCCUGUCCGAGCGUCAUUGCUGCCCUUAAGCACGGCUUGUGUGUUGGGCCCCGUCCUCCGAUCCCGGGGGACGGGCCCGAAAGGCAGCGGCGGCACCGCGUCCGGUCCUCGAGCGUAUGGGGCUUUGUCACCCGCUCUGUAGGCCCGGCCGGCGCUUGCCGAUCAACCCAAAUUUUUUAUCCAGGUUGACCUCGGAUCAGGUAGGGAUACCCGCUGAACUUAAGCAUAUCAAUAAGCGGAGGA